rnacentral:rRNA from 1 species
UACGGAGGAUCCAAGCGUUGUCCGGAUUUACUGGGUUUAAAGGGUGCGUAGGUGGAUCAGUAAGUCAGUGGUGAAAGCCACCCGCUUAACGGGUGAAUUGCCAUUGAUACUAUUGGUCUUGAGUACGGUUGAAGUGGGCGGAAUGUAUCGUGUAGCGGUGAAAUGCUUAGAUAUGAUACAGAACACCAAUUGCGAAGGCAGCUCACUAAGCCGUUACUGACACUGAUGCACGAAAGCGUGGGGAUCGACAGGAUUAGAUACCCGUGUAGU